rnacentral:lncRNA from 1 species
AGUAACGAUGGCAAGGAGAGAUGACCUGUCAUUUUGCCGAGAGAUGAAAUUUAGGAAUAAGAUGGUAGAAUACCUGACAGACUGGGUUAUGGGAACAUCAAACCAAGCAGCAGAUGAUGAUGUAAAAUGUCUUACAAGGCAUCAGGUACCUGAAAAAGAAGAGAUCAAGGCUUUGAAAACGUUAAGUAUUUUCUACCAAGCUGGGGCUUCCAAAGCUGGGAAUCCUAUUUUUUAUUAUGCUGCACGGGCGUGAGAAGUGGAAGUUUAAGAGGAUAAGAUCCUGCCUCACAGGCCCAACAGAAUAAAAAGACCAUGAGAAAGGAUAUUUGCAAAACAUCUAAAUGACAAGGUACUGAAGAUCAGAAAAAACAAGGAGCGCCUAUGAGAAGGGACUUCUCCAAGCUCUGUCUGGGUUCUGCUGUCAAUGGUGUUGUCCAGAGUUAUUGAAAUAGUCAUAGAUGGGUGUAUGUGCGGGGGAGAAGAUGGCGGCGGCGGGGGAGGCAGCGUGAGCAGCCGGAGGAGCGCCGAGUCCCAUUGAAACCGGCAGCC